rnacentral:tRNA from 1 species
GCUGUGGUAGUCUAACAGAUAUUUGAUUUCGACUCAAAAGAACUCACUAACACCGGGCCACAGUA